rnacentral:tRNA from 1 species
CGGCUGUAUGGACGGCGGGCCUCGCGGCCGGCUACCGCUAUUGGCCCAGCAGAAUUGCCGUGCGGGUCGUUCGAUCGGAUCGGGCCCGGCCGGC